GUUAAAAUUUCAGGCCAAAAAACAAGCUAUGACUGCGCUAUUUACGUAAUGAAGUGGCUUGAGUUAAUAGAGCCGGAAAACAUUAAAAAGGGGAAGUAUGAAUGGGAUAACUGGACACAGGAGGAGGUGGACCACUACAGAGUGGAAUAUGCUUCCCGGA